UACGUAGGGGGCGAGCGUUGUCCGAAGUUACUGGGCGUAAAGCGCGCGUAGGCGGCUCUCUAAGUCUGGUGUGAAAGGUUCAGGGCUCAACCCGAACAGUGCACUGGAUACUGGGGAGCUUGAGUGCGGGAGAGGAGAGUGGAAUUCCUGGUGUAGCGGUGAAAUGCGCAGAUAUCGGGAGGAACACCAAUGGCGAAGGCAGCUCGCUGGGACGGUACUGACGCUGAGACGCGAAAGCGUGGGGAGCAAACAGG
rnacentral:rRNA from 1 species